rnacentral:rRNA from 1 species
CGGCGACGGGUGAGUAACACGUAUGCAAUCCACCUGUAACAGGGGGAUAACCCGGAGAAAUCCGGACUAAUACCCCAUAAUAUGGGCGCUCCGCAUGGAGAGUUCAUUAAAGAGAGCAAUUUUGGUUACAGACGAGCAUGCGCUCCAUUAGCCAGUUGGCGGGGUAACGGCCCACCAAGGCGACGAUGGAUAGGGGUUCUGAGAGGAAGGUCCCCCACAUUGGAACUGAGACACGGUCCAA